rnacentral:rRNA from 1 species
UACAGAGGGGGCAAGCGUUGUUCGGAAUUACUGGGCGUAAAGGGCGCGUAGGCGGCCUGUUAAGUCGAACGUGAAAUCCCCGGGCUCAACCCGGGAACUGCGUCCGAUACUGGCAGGCUUGAAUUCGGGAGAGGGAUGCGGAAUUCCAGGUGUAGCGGUGAAGUGCGUAGAUAUCGGGAGGAACACCAGUGGCGAAGGCGGGCACCUGGGCUAACACUGACGCUGAUGCGCGAAAGCUAGGGGAGCAAACAGG